rnacentral:rRNA from 1 species
AGAUCGAACGCUAGCGGGAUGCUUUACACAUGCAAGUCGAACGGCAGCGCGGACUUCGGUCUGGCGGCGAGUGGCGAACGGGUGAGUAAUAUAUCGGAACGUGCCCAGUAGCGGGGGAUAACUACGCGAAAGCGUGGCUAAUACCGCAUACGCCCUACGGGGGAAAGGGGGGGAUUCUUCGGAACCUCUCACUAUUGGAGCGGCCGAUAUCAGAUUAGCUAGUUGGUGGGGUAAAGGCCUACCAAGGCGACGAUCCUUAGCUGGUCUGAGAGGAUGAUCAGCCACACUGGGACUGAGACACGGCCCAGACUCGUACGGGAGCAGCAGUGGGAAUAUGGAC